UAGAGCGUUCACAUCAGCGGAAAAAAUUUAUCCCGAAAGAUGACAUGUGGCAUAAAAUAUAGUUUUACAUUUUAAUAUUAAUUAUUUUCGAAAAUUGUAAAAAAUAUGUAAACAUACAGCAUUAAAAAAUGGAAAAACUACAUUAAACAUAUGUAAGAUUACUAUUUUUCACUUAAAAAAAAAAGACGGCUUAUCUCCAUAAUGUAACAUUACCGUUUUAUAAAAAAAAACAAAAAACAUUAUAUAUAAUUUCGAAAAUAAUAAAUAUAAGUAAAACAUACAACAUAAAAAUGGAAAUACUACAUUAAACAUAAAUAUGUUUGACUAUUUGUCCAAGUUCUUCUAUUAAACAUUGCCGUUUUACAUUAAAAAUAGAAAAAUACGUAAAGAUUUAAACAUCUAUCUUAAAAUAUAAAAUAUAGACAUUAACUAAAUAUAAAGUAUAAAAAAGAGAAAUACUCAUCUAUACUAAUAAAAGGGAGCUUUUGAGGCUCCAUAGGGCGUCCACAUCAACGGAAAAAAUUUAUUCCGAAAGAUGACACGUGGCAUAAAAUAUAGUUUUACAUUUUAAUAUUAAUUAUUUUCGAAAAUUGUAAAAAAUAUGUAAACAUACAGCAUUAAAAAUAGAAAAACUACAUUAAACAUAUGUAAGAUUACUAUUUUUCACUUAAAAAAAAAGACGGCUUAUCUCCAUAAUGUAACAUUACCGUUCUAUACUAAUAAAAGGGAGCUUUUGAGACUCCAUAGAGCGUUCACAUCAGCGGAAAAAAUUUAUCCCGAAAGAUGACAUGUGGCAUAAAAUAUAGUUUUACAUUUUAAUAUUAAUUAUUUUCGAAAAUUGUAAAAAAUAUGUAAACAUACAGCAUUAAAAAAUGGAAAAACUACAUUAAACAUAUGUAAGAUUACUAUUUUUCACUUAAAAAAAAAAGACGGCUUAUCUCCAUAAUGUAACAUUACCGUUUUAUAAAAAAAAACAAAAAACAUUAUAUAUAAUUUCGAAAAUAAUAAAUAUAAGUAAAACAUACAACAUAAAAAUGGAAAUACUACAUUAAACAUAAAUAUGUUUGACUAUUUGUCCAAGUUCUUCUAUUAAACAUUGCCGUUUUACAUUAAAAAUAGAAAAAUACGUAAAGAUUUAAACAUCUAUCUUAAAAUAUAAAAUAUAGACAUUAACUAAAUAUAAAGUAUAAAAAAGAGAAAUACUCAUCUAUACUAAUAAAAGGGAGCUUUUGAGGCUCCAUAGGGCGUCCACAUCAACGGAAAAAAUUUAUUCCGAAAGAUGACACGUGGCAUAAAAUAUAGUUUUACAUUUUAAUAUUAAUUAUUUUCGAAAAUUGUAAAAAAUAUGUAAACAUACAGCAUUAAAAAUAGAAAAACUACAUUAAACAUAUGUAAGAUUACUAUUUUUCACUUAAAAAAAAAGACGGCUUAUCUCCAUAAUGUAACAUUACCGUUUUAUAAAAAAAAAACAAAAAACAUUAUAUAUAAUUUCGAAAAUAAUAAAUAUAAGUAAAACAUACAACAUAAAAAUGGAAAUACUACAUUAAACAUAAAUAUGUUUGACUAUUUGUCCAAGUUCUU
rnacentral:lncRNA from 1 species